AUNCCUAGUGAUGAAGAGUUGAAAAAUGCAAUUAUUGAUAUCUUGAAAGGGGUCGACUUCAACACGGCUACAUUCACUGACAUCCUCAAGCGACUUGAUAAAAAGUUCAAAAUCGAUCUCACCUCAAGAAAAUCAUCUAUUAAGCUGAUGAUCCAAGAUGAGCUCAAAAA